ACCGAGGUGACUCAGCAAGUAGAGUAUGAGACCCUUAAUCUUAGGGUCGUGGGUUCGAAACCCACAUUGGGCA